rnacentral:lncRNA from 1 species
UGCAGUUACAGUUCCCGCGGAAUCGCCUUCAACAAGCUUGAUCUGAAUGUUGACUUUUCCGAACAUAUACUUUGACUUUGAUGAAAAUCCAGCUCCUGAGUAAGUUAUCUAGCUUCAUGUUGACGGCAUCACCAUCAAACGAGAAAUGAUCAGGAGCCCAGUAAGGCUGAAACAGCUGAUCAAAUUUAGCAGUAGCAUUAGCACAAAAGAACAAAGAUAGAAACAAUGCAACAGCAACUAAAGAUGAAGAAGAAUCAGCCAUGAUGGAAGACAUAUUACAAGGUUUUUGUUGU